GGCAGACGGGUGAGUAACGCGUGGGAAUCUACCCAUCCCUACGGAAUAGCUCCGGGAAACUGGAAUUAAUACCGUAUACGCCCUUCGGGGGAAAGAUUUAUCGGGGAUGGAUGAGCCCGCGUUUGAUUAGCUAGUUGGUGGGGUAAUGGCCUACCAAGGCGACGAUCAAUAGCUGGUCUGAGAGGAUGAUCAGCCACACUGGGACUGAGACACGGCCCAGACUCCUACGGGAGGCAGCAGUGGGGAAUAUUGGACAAUGGGCGAAAGCCUGAUCCAGCCAUGCCGCGUGAGUGAUGAAGGCCCUAGGGUUGUAAAGCUCUUUCAACGGUGAAGAUAAUGACGGUAGCCGUAGAAGAAGCCCCGGCUAACUUCGUGCCAGCAGCCGCGGUAAUACGAAGGGGGCUAGCGUUGUUCGGAAUUACUGGGCGUAAAGCGCACGUAGGCGGAUUGAUCAGUUGGGGGUGAAAUCCCAGGGCUCAACCCUGGAACUGCCUUCAAUACUGUCUGUCUAGAGGUCGAGAGAGGUGAGUGGAAUUCCGAGUGUAGAGGUGAAAUUCGUAGAUAUUCGGAGGAACACCAGUGGCGAAGGCGGCUCACUG
rnacentral:rRNA from 1 species